GACGAACGCUGGCGGCGUGCUUAACACAUGCAAGUCGAACGAUGAAGCUGGAGCUUGCUCCGGUGGAUUAGUGGCGAACGGGUGAGUAACACGUCAGCAAUCUGCUCUUGACUCUGGGAUAACUGCGGGAAACUGUAGCUAAUACAGGAUACGAGGCUCGAAGGCAUCUUCGUGUCGGGAACGAAUUCCGGUCAAGGAUGAGCUCGCGGCCUAUCAGCGUGUGGGUGAGGUAAUGGCGCACAAAGGCGACGACGGGUAGCCGGCCUGAGAGGGGGACCGGCCACACUGGGACCGGGACGCGGCCCUGACUCCUACGGGAGGCAGCAGUGGGGAAUAUUGCACAAUGGGCGAAAGCCUGAUGCAGCAACGCCGCGUGAGGGAUGAAGGCCUUCGGGUUAUAAACCUCUUUUAGCAGGGAAGAAGCGAAAGUGACGGUACCUGCAGAAAAAGCACCGGCUAACUACGUGCCAGCCGCCGCAGUAA
rnacentral:rRNA from 1 species